GGAGAGAUGGCCGAGUGGCCGAAGGCGCUCCCCUGCUAAGGGAGUAUAGGGUCUUAAAAACCUUAUCGAGGGUUCGAAUCCCUCUCUCUCCGCCA
rnacentral:tRNA from 1 species